rnacentral:lncRNA from 1 species
CUGGCUCCCUGCAUCCCCGUUUCCACAGCUGGAACCACUCACCCUUCACUCACUGCGGGCAGCCAGGGACCCAGGUGAAAGCAGCCUUGACUUCAAACCCCCGUGCUUGCCCAUCAACAGUAUGCCAGGUGGUUCUACUUCACCUGAACACCCUAGUUCUAACGACUCAGGAGCGAUGUCAGCUGACGCCCGUGUGCAGAGUCACCAUUCUAAGCACUUUGCAAAUGUGUUAUGUGUGAUUUAGUCCUGGAAACCACCCUAUGAGGAGGCCUGGAGCGAGCCUGAGAAUCUGCGCUUCCGACUGAUGCCUAGUUGACGCUGGUGCUGCUGGUCUGAGACCCACAUUCAGAGAACCGCAAGUUGGUGCUAACUGAAUCCUUCUCCUGACCCCCAUUAUUGAGUUGCUUCCUUUGUUGCCUGCCUGGUACCCCAAGUCCUCAGAAACUGGACAGCUCCAUCUCAGUACCAGAAUAUGGCUGGGUCCCCCUCUCUGCUCUCAGAUGCCGCUGAUGCCACUUGCUCUUCUGGACUUCUGCCUAUUGUCAUCACAAGACAUUCUUGUUCUCCAUCCACCUUCCUGGACUUCUAGAUGCUAGAAACUUCCCCAAUCAUAGCCACUCUGUGGUCGAUUUAUCUGGUCUGUGGAUUCUACUCUGUCCUGGCCCACUACUGACUGAGCUCCGGCCAGGACAGGUGUCAUCUCUUAAGCCUUCCCUGACCUAGAACAAUGAACCUAGCUCCCAUGUUGUCAGGUGACAUGGUCUUCAAAUCUGUCUCUGUUCAGAUGACCCUCUUCUGACCUCUCUCUAGGUCAUCAAUGCUCUGCUUAGUAUCUGGAGUACAGAACUAGAGACAGUGCUCCUAUGGGAUCCCACCAUAAUUCCUUGGAACCAUCACUUCCCUUCUCCCAGACUUUUAUAUCCUGUUAAUACUGCUUGUGUUGCAUUCAUCUACCCAUAUUGACUUUGAGCCUGAGGCUUCCAAAUAUUUUUCAAAUAAACUGUUCUCAGACCCAGCUUUCCUCCAUUUUAUGCUUAUGUAAAAAU